rnacentral:rRNA from 1 species
GAUGAACGCUGGCGGCGUGCCUAAUACAUGCAAGUCGAGCGAACGGACGAGAAGCUUGCUUCUCUGAUGUUAGCGGCGGACGGGUGAGUAACACGUGGAUAACCUACCUAUAAGACUGGGAUAACUUCGGGAAACCGGAGCUAAUACCGGAUAAUAUUUUGAACCGCAUGGUUCAAAAGUGAAAGACGGUCUUGCUGUCACUUAUAGAUGGAUCCGCGCUGCAUUAGCUAGUUGGUAAGGUAACGGCUUACCAAGGCAACGAUGCAUAGCCGACCUGAGAGGGUGAUCGGCCACACUGGAACUGAGACACGGUCCAGACUCCUACGGGAGGCAGCAGUAGGGAAUCUUCCGCAAUGGGCGAAAGCCUGACGGAGCAACGCCGCGUGAGUGAUGAAGGUCUUCGGAUCGUAAAACUCUGUUAUUAGGGAAGAACAUAUGUGUAAGUAACUGUGCACAUCUUGACGGUACCUAAUCAGAAAGCCACGGCUAACUACGUGCCAGCAGCCGCGGUAAUACGUAGGUGGCAAGCGUUAUCCGGAAUUAUUGGGCGUAAAGCGCGCGUAGGCGGUUUUUUAAGUCUGAUGUGAAAGCCCACGGCUCAACCGUGGAGGGUCAUUGGAAACUGGAAAACUUGAGUGCAGAAGAGGAAAGUGGAAUUCCAUGUGUAGCGGUGAAAUGCGCAGAGAUAUGGAGGAACACCAGUGGCGAAGGCGACUUUCUGGUCUGUAACUGACGCUGAUGUGCGAAAGCGUGGGGAUCAAACAGGAUUAGAUACCCCGGUAGUCCACGCCGUAAACGAUGAGUGCUAAGUGUUAGGGGGUUUCCGCCCCUUAGUGCUGCAGCUAACGCAUUAAGCACUCCGCCUGGGGAGUACGACCGCAAGGUUGAAACUCAAAGGAAUUGACGGGGACCCGCACAAGCGGUGGAGCAUGUGGUUUAAUUCGAAGCAACGCGAAGAACCUUACCAAAUCUUGACAUCCUUUGACAACUCUAGAGAUAGAGCCUUCCCCUUCGGGGGACAAAGUGACAGGUGGUGCAUGGUUGUCGUCAGCUCGUGUCGUGAGAUGUUGGGUUAAGUCCCGCAACGAGCGCAACCCUUAAGCUUAGUUGCCAUCAUUAAGUUGGGCACUCUAAGUUGACUGCCGGUGACAAACCGGAGGAAGGUGGGGAUGACGUCAAAUCAUCAUGCCCCUUAUGAUUUGGGCUACACACGUGCUACAAUGGACAAUACAAAGGGCAGCGAAACCGCGAGGUCAAGCAAAUCCCACAAAGUUGUUCUCAGUUCGGAUUGUAGUCUGCAACUCGACUACAUGAAGCUGGAAUCGCUAGUAAUCGUAGAUCAGCAUGCUACGGUGAAUACGUUCCCGGGUCU